AACAGAUUUGGGGAAGGGGGGAGAAGCUCUCAAACCCUCACCAUCUUUGAUCCACCGUAUCUUCCUCGUUUGAGCUCCGAUUGACGAGCCAUUUGCGGCCACGCGUUCGUCUCGGACUCCUCUUCAAUUUUAUCUGAACAAAGUGGUGCAAACUAAAAUUGGAUAAUUGUUGGGUUGCACUCCAAUCAUCAAUGGGUACGAUGCAGGUCAAGAGGCUCCUCGCUAGGCAUCUGGAUCUUGGGAAGCGAGGUAGUCCUUUGGUGUAUUUUGGUUUCCUGUUGUAUAUAUGUAUAUAUGUAUUUAGCUUACUCUCCAAGUAACUUAUGUAUGCUGCUCCUCUUAGAGGUUGAGGGAGAGAUAGGAGUUUAUUUUGGU